GGCUGCGGCAGCUAUACAUGCAAGUCGAGGGGUAACGUGUUCUGCUUGCAGAAUGACGACGACCGGCGCACGGGUGCGUAACGCGUAUGCAACCUACCUUAUACAGGGGGAUAGCCCAGAGAAAUUUGGAUUAAUACCCCAUAGUACUCAUUUACCUCAUGGUUUAUGAUUUAAAACUCCGGUGGUAUAAGAUGGGCAUGCGUUAGAUUAGCUAGUUGGUAAGGUAACGGCUUACCAAGGCGACGAUCUAUAGGGGGUCUGAGAGGAUGAUCCCCCACACUGGAACUGAGACACGGUCCAGACUCCUACGGGAGGCAGCAGUAAGGAAUAUUGGUCAAUGGAGGCAACUCUGAACCAGCCAUGCCGCGUGUGCGAAGAAGGCGUUCUGCGUCGUAAAGCACUUUUAAAUAGGAAGAAACGCUCUUUGCGAAGAGCUAUGACGGUACUAUCAGAAUAAGGACCGGCUAACUCCGUGCCAGCAGCCGCGGUAAUACGGAGGGUCCGAGCGUUGUCCGGAAUUAUUGGGUUUAAAGGGUACGUAGGCGGAUUGAUCAGUCAGAGCUGAAAUCCUAUGGCUUAACCAUAGAACUGGCUUUGAUACUGUCAAUCUUGAGUACGGUAGAGGUAGGCGGAAUUUAUGAUGUAGCGGUGAAAUGCAUAGAUAUCAUAAAGAACACCGAUAGCGAAGGCAGCUUGCUGGACCGUAACUGACGCUAAUGUACGAAAGUGCGGGUAUCGAACAGGAUUAGAUACCCUGGUAGUCCGCACCGUAAACGAUGCUCACUCGUUGUUGGCGAUAGACAGUCAGCGACCAAGCGAAAGCGUUAAGUGAG
rnacentral:rRNA from 1 species